UACGUAGGGUGCGAGCGUUAAUCGGAAUUACUGGGCGUAAAGCGUGCGCAGGCGGUGAUGUAAGACCGAUGUGAAAUCCCCGGGCUCAACCUGGGAACUGCAUUUGUGACUGUAGAGCUGGAGUACGGUAGAGGGGGAUGGAAUUCCGCGUGUAGCAGUGAAAUGCGUAGAUAUGCGGAGGAACACCGAUGGCGAAGGCAAUCCCCUGGACCUGUACUGACGCUCAUGCACGAAAGCGUGGGGAGCAAACAGG
rnacentral:rRNA from 1 species